rnacentral:rRNA from 1 species
GGCCUAUUAGGUCUCGUAAUUGGAAUGAGAACAAUUUAAAUACCUUAACGAGGAACAAUUAGAGGGCAAGUCUGGUGCUAGCAGCCGCGGUAAUUCCAGCUCUGAUAGUAUAUAUUAAAGUUGUUGCAGUUAAAAAGCUCGUAGUUGAAACUUGGGUGCGUAGGGGCGGUCUCUUUUAGAGUACUACCCUGAAACAUCUUUCUUUGGUGUAAACUCUUUAUUCACUUAAGGAGUGUAAACCAAACAUUUACUUUGAAAAAAUUAGAGUGUUCAAAGCAGGCCUUUGCUCGAAUAUAUUGGCAUGGAAUAAUAGAAUAGGACGUAUGGUUCUAUUUUGUUGGUUUCUAGGACCGUCGUAAUGAUUAAUAGGGACGGUCGGGGGCAUCAGUAUUCAGUUGUCAGAGGUGAAAUUCUUGGAUUUACUGAAGACUAACUACUGCGAAAGCAUUUGCCAAGGACGUUUUCAUUAAUCAAGAACGAAAGUUAGGGGAUCGAAGACGAUCAGAUACCGUCGUAGUCUUAACCGUAAACUAUGCCGACUAGGGAUCGGAGGGCGUUAUAAUAACCUCUCCGGCACCUUACGAGAAAUCAAAGUUUUUGGGUUCUGGGGGGAGUAUGGUUGCAAGGCUGAAACUUAAAGGAAUUGACGGAAGGGCACCACCAGGAGUGGAGCCUGCGGCUUAAUUUGACCCAACACGGGGAAACUCACCAGGUCCAGACACAAUAAGGAUUGACAGAUUGAGAGCUCUUUCAUGAUUUUGUGGGUGGUGGUGCAUGGCCGUUCUUAGUUGGUGGAGUGAUUUGUCUGCUUAAUUGCGAUAACGAACGAGACCUUAACCUGCUAAAUAGCUGUAACAAUAGAUUAUUGUUUUGACAGCUUCUUAGAGGGACUAUCGAUUUUCAAGUCGAUGGAAGUUUGAGGCAAUAACAGGUCUGUGAUGCCCUUAGACGUUCUGGGCCGCACGCGCGCUACACUGACGGAGCCAGCGAGUCUAACCUGUGCCGAGAGGUAUGGGUAAUCUUGUGAAACUCCGUCGUGCUGGGGAUAGAGCAUUGCAAUUAUUGCUCUUCAACGAGGAAAUCCUAGUAAGCGCAAGUCAUCAGCUUGCGUUGAUUACGUCCCUGCCCUUUGUACACACCGCCCGUCGCUACUACCGAUUGAAUGGCUUAGUGAGGCUUCCGGAUUGAUUAACUGGAGAGGGCAACUUUUCUGGUUGAACGAGAAGCUAGUCAAACUUGGUCAUUUAGA